rnacentral:lncRNA from 1 species
GUUUAUGCCUUUAACAAAAGGUCAGCUCAGAAGGACCCAGAGAGCACAGGCGGUGUUGGAGUAGCUCUGCUGUGCUAGGCGCGCUCUCAGGCGCGCCUCCCGGGUCUGCUCGCCCCACACGCAGUGUCCCAGGGCUUGCCCGCAGUCGGCGGGGAUGGGAGUCAUUCGCGGGCCAGGUGUGGCCACACCAAAGACUCUCUGGACCCUUCCCACCGCUAGAACUCUGUCGAGCCUCCUUUAGCCUCAUAAUUGCUGCCCUUAAGUUUCUCUUUUCAAGUCUCACAUCACGCAUUUUAAGAGGAGGUCACAAGGCCGGCCCAGAUUCGAGUCUGGAGAAACAGACCCCAUUCAUCUCUUGAUGGGAGGAGCAGCCGUGUCACUGCUAUGGACUGAGUGUGGACCCGCCAAAAUCCGAGCCCAAAUUGACCAGGACAGUCGCUUGGCAAAGAGAUGUGGACACGGAAGCAUGGUUCUUUGAAGGCUGUAGCAGACAGGUCAGGUGGCCACAACAGCAGAACACAGACUGGGUGACUUAAACAACAGACGUGUAUUUCCUCUCAGUCCUGGAGGCUAAAAAUUCCAAGAUCGAGGUGUCGACCGGUUCUAGAGGCUGCGAAGUCCAAGACCAAGGUGCUGGCUGAUUGGGUUCCCUGCUGAGGG